rnacentral:lncRNA from 1 species
CCACCUCGCAAGUAGAGUCGGUCACAUUGUGCUGCUUAGAACUCUUCUAGCAGAUUGCUCCAUUGUUCAGGAUAUAAAUAUAUCCCAACACAUUCUUGCUGUCGUCAUGAACUGACUAAAAAUUAGUCUGUAAACCCCAUAAGUUUUAAGUCAGAUUCUCCAUAGAUAAGUCACUGAUCUUUAAUAUUUCUCAAAUACUUAAGGAUGAUCUUUACGACCUUCCAGUGGUUCUCACC